AUACGUAGGGGGCGAGCGUUGUCCGGAAUGAUUGGGCGUAAAGGGCGCGUAGGCGGCGCGGUAAGUCUGGAGUGAAAGUCCUGCUUUCAAGGUGGGAAUUGCUUUGGAUACUGCCGCGCUUGAGUGCAGGAGAGGUUAUCGGAAUUCCCGGUGUAGCGGUGAAAUGCGUAGAGAUCGGGAGGAACACCAGUGGCGAAGGCGGGUAACUGGACUGCAACUGACGCUGAGGCGCGAAAGUGUGGGGAGCAAACAGUAUUAGAUACCCUGGUAGUCCACACUGUAAACGAUGAAUGCUAGGUGUAAGAGGUAUCGACCCCUUUUGUGCCGGAGUCAACACAAUAAGCAUUCCGCCUGGGGAGUACGGCCGCAAGGUUGAAACUCAAAUGAAUUGACGGGG
rnacentral:rRNA from 1 species